rnacentral:rRNA from 1 species
GCAUUUGGUCAAUCUUGUUUGGUCUUGGAACCUAUUAAGUUAGGCCUGGUUAGUACUCGGAUGGGAGAUCAUCUGGGAAUUCCUGGACUGUAAACU